rnacentral:sRNA from 1 species
GGAGUCAGGGAAUAAGGACAGUUUGUGAGAGAGCAGCUGCAAUAGUUUUACACUUCAGUGUGUUGCGGUGAAUGCUGGCAACAGUCAGUCUAGUGCCUUUACAGAGACCUCUUGCUGGCAUGAGGUUUCUAAGAAGCAUGACAACUGAACCAAUUUUAAUUUCGAGUUUAUGCGGAGGUCAGUAGGGAUUGGAUCAAACAAUUGGCAAGCCUGCAUAUUAUGGUAAUAUAAGAGAUAAAGAGAAAUUGACUUUGUGCUCCAGGAUAGGCAGAAUAGAAACUCAGAUUAACAAGAUGGAUCUGAAGCUGGAUCAAACAAUUGUGCUCCUCAACAUUCUAGUUCAUCAGCAGAAACAUCCAACUGCUAGUGAAGAUACAUCUCCAGAAACACUAGAAAACUCCUAGCAUUUAGCUCAGCACAAUGGACACUGUUACAUCCUGUUGUCACUGCUUUGUGCAAUAUUCUUCAAUUAUAAGCACAUGCAUUGUGAAAUGUUUAGUAUGUAAACCAUAUACAAAAAAAAUUCAUACCUCAAAUGUAAAUAUAUGCUGCAGCCACAAAGACUUCAUGGAUCUAGACAUGUCACCACAGUUGUAUGUGUGUCUAGACCUGCUGCCUCAAAGACUUGCAGACUUUGUGUAUGGACUUGCUACCACAAUUAUAUUCAAACCUGGUGGAGCUAGACCUCUUUUUUAAAUACAUGUUUCUAGACCUGCUGUGGCAGUUGCAUCCUAACUUGUGGGUCGACUAGCUACCACAAUGGCACAGAGACCUUAGAACCUCUUUGGUCAAUACUUGCCACAAUAAAUAAACACUGUACUCAAUGAAUGAAAUUUGCUGGCACAACAUUUGUCUAUGAAAACCGGUUUCAUUUUAGUAUUUGGCCAAAUUAAAGGUUUUCAUUGUCAUCUGGAUUAUUAGAAGAGCAAUAUUUGAUUUGAUACAUGGCAUCAUUGUCAAGUAGAAGGUAAGACAAUGUCAACAAAAUAUCUCCUGCCUUUAAGAAUGUUCCUAAAUGUGUAGACUCAGAAAAACAUUCAACAAAGUUAGGACCAUAUACCUUUUGUAUGUGCAUUUUUGUAAAUCUGCUAAUGGGACCAAUUCUGUAAAGUAUGUAUUUAUGUAUAGUUUAAGUACUGCAUCAAUUUACAUCCCCUUUCUAUUUUAAAUUAAGUUUUUUGACAAAGCAGCAGCAUUUGAAAAUGAAUACAAAUAAUUUGGUUUCUACAUGACAUUCAAGAGAACAAAUGCUAACAAGUACAAUGUAUUGGGCUAAUUAGUAAUGUAGCUGUACUACAUACUGACCACUUAGUGUACCUUUGUAUUGGCCUAGGUAUUUCAUUUAUACUAGUGCAGACAUUCAUUCAAUGCUAAUAUCUUGUGUGUAGAAAUAUUUAUUUCC